rnacentral:rRNA from 1 species
CAGCAGCCGCGGUAAUACGAAGGGUGCAAGCGUUACUCGGAAUUACUGGGCGUAAAGCGUGCGUAGGCGGCUUCUUAAGUCGGAUGUGAAAUCCCUGAGCUUAACUUAGGAAUUGCAUUCGAUACUGGGAAGCUAGAGUAUGGGAGAGGAUGGUAGAAUUCCAGGUGUAGCGGUGAAAUGCGUAGAGAUCUGGAGGAAUACCGAUGGCGAAGGCAGCCAUCUGGCCUAAUACUGACGCUGAGGUACGAAAGCAUGGGGAGCAAACAGGAUUAGAUACCCCAGUAGUCCCUGUCUCUUAUAC